rnacentral:tRNA from 1 species
GGCGGUGUAGCUCAACUGGCGAGAGCGUACGGUUCAUACCCGUAAGGUUGGGGGUUCAAUCCCCUCCGCCGCUA